rnacentral:lncRNA from 1 species
UCCUGCAAGUGAAAAAUCAUAUUAAUAUAGCUUCUAAGUUACGACAGUUAGUGGUUACCAAAUACUUUAGUACGAUAUUUUUUAAGUUACAGCUGCUCAAUUUCAAUACGAAACACACCCUUAAUUAUAGAUGGGUGCCAUAAUUUGAAACAUAUGGUCAACAAGUCAAGAUUGCACCAAAAAUAAAAACAAAAACAAAAAAUGUAUACUGUUCCACCAAACAUAAAUUAAAUUUAAUCAACCCAUCAAUUUCUCUGGUAAAACAUGUGAAUGUCUUCUAGGAAAUUGAAUAGAUAUGAUAGCAAGUUAGCACCAGAUCAAUAAUUGUAAGGUAUGUUAUAACACUUUUCUCAAGGGUUUUUAUUUUCGCUCACUCUCACAGUGUUUUGUUUUUAUAAUAUCACAAAUUAUCUCAAGAAUACGAGAAAACCAACAUAAU